rnacentral:lncRNA from 1 species
AGCCAGUGAUUUGAAGAGGAUUAAACUUGGUAGAAUCACAUUAUUACAUCUGUUUCCCCCUGUUGUUUAGCUGUUGGGAAUUUUAGCAGCAGUGCUUGUUCUAAUUCACAGACCGUCUCAAUUCUAAGGUAGGGUAGUUUGAAAACCACUGACUGAGUAGUCAGCCUCUUCAGCUUUGCUUUGUAGGGGGAGUAGUGAGAUUUGGUUCUGGUUUUGAUUGGUAACUCUUCAGGUGUUUGCUAGCACUUCAUUCUGGCUUUCCGUUUGUGUGUGGCCAGGUGGUUAUACUAAGGAAAUUUCCAGCAGGAUGCACAUUUCUGAGGAGUAUGAAGAAUAUUGUCCCGGAGACAAAUAGAUUAUUAUGAGGACUUUAUGCUCAAUAUGGAAGGAAAGGGGGAGAAUGACUAAGUGAAACUCUAAAAUUAUGAAGGGCAUGUAGUCUGUCAUAGACGGGUUGGCAGACCUUUCCUGUGAAGAGCCAGAUAGGACAUAGUUUUGGCUUUGUUGCCCAAAAUCAGUUCUGUCUGUGUAGCAUGAAAAUAGCAUUAGACAAUACCAAAUGAGUGAGCAUUGCUGAAAUUUGAAUUUCAUGUAAAUUCUUUACCUGUCUUGAAAUUUCCUUUUCAUUUGAAUCCUUAACCCACUGAGCAAGGGCAGGGACCGAACCUGCAACCUCAUGGUUCCUAGUCGAUUCGUUAACCACUGCGCCACGACGGGAACUCCAAACACAUGGUCUUCUGUGCUGCAUAAUAAAUGAUCACAAACCUAGCAUUCAAAUCAACCCUUAUUUAUUUAUUUGGCUGCACCUACGGUAUGCAGAAGUUCCUGGGCCAGGGAUAGAACCCAUGGCACAGCUGCAAUCCAAGCUACUGCAGCAACAAUGCUGGACCCUUAACCCUCUGCUCCACCAAGGGAAUUCCACACACAUAUUAUCUCACAAUGUAUGUGGGUCAGGACUCCAGGCAUACCUCAGCUGGGUUCUCGGCAAGGCUGUAUCAAAGUGUCAUUUGUGUUCUUAUUUGGAGGACUGACUGUAAGGUCCACUUACACACUAAGGAUGUCAGUAGAAUUCAAUUCUUUGUGGCUAUAGGACUGAACUUCUUGCUGGUUGUUGGCUGGAGGUUGCCCUCAGCUCCCUGUUACACGGAACUCAACAUGGCUGCUUGCUUCUUCAAGGCCAGCACUGGUGAGUGUCUCAAGGAAUUCUAGGAGUUCCCCUUGUGGCUCAGUGGUAACAAACCCGACCAGUAUCCAUGAGAACUCCGUUUUGAUCCCUGGCCUUGUUCAGUGGGUUAAGGAUACGCUGUUGCUUCAAACUGUGGUGUAGGCUGGCAGUUGCAGGUCUGAUUGGACCCCUAGCCUGUGAACUUCCAUAUGCUGCAGGUGUGGCCAUAAAAAAGAAAAAAAAAAAAAGAAAAA